rnacentral:rRNA from 1 species
GUGCCAGCAGCCGCGGUAAUACGGGGGGAGCAAGCGUUGUUCGGAAUCACUGGGCGUAAAGGGAGUCUAGGCGGUUUGGUAAGUGGGAUGUGAAAUCCCCGGGCUCACCCCGGGACCUGCAUCCCAAACUGCUGAGCUUGAGUACAGGAGAGGGUGGGGGAAUUCCAGGUGUAGCGGUGAAAUGCGUAGAUAUCUGGAGGAACACCGGUGGCGAAGGCGCCCACCUGGCCUGCUACUGACGCUGAAGCUCGAAAGCUAGGGGAGCAAACGGGAUUAGAAACCCCCGUAGUCC